rnacentral:rRNA from 1 species
UUUAAAACGUCGUGAGACAGUUUGGUCCCUAUCUGCCGUGGGCGUUGGAGAUUUGACGGGGGCUGCUCCUAGUACGAGAGGACCGGAGUGGACGUACCGCUGGUGUACCGGUUGUGACGCCAGUCGCAUUGCCGGGUAGCUAUGUACGGAAGCGAUAACCGCUGAAAGCAUCUAAGCGGGAAACGUGCCUGAAGAUGAGAUCUCCCGGGGCCUUGAGCCCCCUGAAGGGUCGUGGCAGACCACCACGUUGAUAGGUCGGGUGUGGAAGGGCAGUAAUGCCUUAAGCUAACCGAUACUAAUUGCCCGUGCGGCUUGACCUCAUAACC